CCAAAAAGAUUAGAACACGCUCAAGUCUCCCUCUAGUCGCCACGGCUGGGACUCCUCAGAUCCAAUAUUGUCAUAAUCAAUGAAACUAUGGUUUAACCAUUCACUGGCACGGUGUGAAACAACCAAGAAAUCCAUGGUCUGAUGGUCUCGAAUUCAUAACUCAAUGCCCGAUUCGACCAGGAACCAACUUCACGUACGAAGUCAUAUUGUCGGAUGAAAUAGGAACCCUAUGGUGGCAUGCUCACAGUGACUGGACUCGCGAUUCCGUCCAGGGAGCCUUUAUCAUUUUACCAGCCAAGCACGAAACUUAUCCGUUCCCCACGCUGGGUGCCGAUCAAACAAUCAUAUGCUUCAAACAUGGUACAAUGGAGACUACAAGCAAAUGAUUGAUGAAGUGGUUGCAACGGGAACCACUCCUGGGCAAACAGAUGCUUACGCCAUCAACGGACACUUAGGCGACACAUACGGAUGCCCCAUCGAUACAAUAUUUCGUA